rnacentral:ribozyme from 1 species
CAUGAGGGACAUUUAAAAAAAAAAAGAUUACAAAAAACACUUGCGUGUAUAUGCUCAUUCAUUCUCUCUUCUUUUCUUUGUCUCGUUCUCCCUCUCCC